rnacentral:rRNA from 1 species
AUGAACGCUAGCUACAGGCUUAACACAUGCAAGUCGAGGGGCAGCAUGGUCUUAGCUUGCUAAGGCCGAUGGCGACCGGCGCACGGGUGAGUAACACGUAUCCAACCUGCCGUCUACUCUUGGACAGCCUUCUGAAAGGAAGAUUAAUACAAGAUGGCAUCAUGAGUCCGCAUGUUCACAUGAUUAAAGGUAUUCCGGUAGACGAUGGGGAUGCGUUCCAUUAGAUAGUAGGCGGGGUAACGGCCCACCUAGUCUUCGAUGGAUAGGGGUUCUGAGAGGAAGGUCCCCCACAUUGGAACUGAGACACGGUCCAAACUCCUACGGGAGGCAGCAGUGAGGAAUAUUGGUCAAUGGGCGAGAGCCUGAACCAGCCAAGUAGCGUGAAGGAUGACUGCCCUAUGGGUUGUAAACUUCUUUUAUAAAGGAAUAAAGUCGGGUAUGGAUACCCGUUUGCAUGUACUUUAUGAAUAAGGAUCGGCUAACUCCGUGCCAGCAGCCGCGGUAAUACGGAGGAUCCGAGCGUUAUCCGGAUUUAUUGGGUUUAAAGGGAGCGUAGAUGGAUGUUUAAGUCAGUUGUGAAAGUUUGCGGCUCAACCGUAAAAUUGCAGUUGAUACUGGAUAUCUUGAGUGCAGUUGAGGCAGGCGGAAUUCGUGGUGUAGCGGUGAAAUGCUUAGAUAUCACGAAGAACUCCGAUUGCGAAGGCAGCCUGCUAAGCUGCAACUGACAUUGAGGCUCGAAAGUGUGGGUAUCAAACAGGAUUAGAUACCCUGGUAGUCCACACGGUAAACGAUGAAUACUCGCUGUUUGCGAUAUACUGCAAGCGCACAAGCGAAAGCGUUAAGUAUUCCAUGUGGGGAGUACGCCGGCAACGGUGAAACUCAAAGGAAUUGACGGGGGCCCGCACAAGCGGAGGAACAUGUGGUUUAAUUAGAUGAUACGCGAGGAACCUUACCCGGGCUUAAAUCGCAGAUGAAUUACGGUGAAAGCCGUAAGCCGCAAGGCAUCUGUGAAGGUGCUGCAUGGUUGUCGUCAGCUCGUGCCGUGAGGUGUCGGCUUAAGUGCCAUAACGAGCGCAACCCUUGUUGUCAGUUACUAACAGGUUCCGCUGAGGACUCUGACAAGACUGCCAUCGUAAGAUGUGAGGAAGGUGGGGAUGACGUCAAAUCAGCACGGCCCUUACGUCCGGGGCUACACACGUGUUACAAUGGGGGGUACAGAGGGCCGCUACCACGCGAGUGGAUGCCAAUCCCCAAAACCUCUCUCAGUUCGGACUGGAGUCUGCAACCCGACUUCACGAAGCUGGAUUCGCUAGUAAUCGCGCAUCAGCCACGGCGCGGUGAAUACGUUCCCGGGCCUUGUACACACCGCCCGUCAAGCCAUGGGAGCCGGGGGUACCUGAAGUGCGUAACCGCGAGGAGCGCCCUAGGGUAAAACUGGUGACUGGGGCUAA